rnacentral:rRNA from 1 species
GACGAACGCUGGCGGCGUGCUUAACACAUGCAAGUCGAACGGAAAGGCCCUGCUUUUGUUGGUUUCUCGAGUGGCGAACGGGUGUGUAACACGUGAGUAACCUGUCCUUGACUUUGUGAUAUCUUCAGGAAACUGGGGCUAUUACCGCAUAUGAGCUCCUGCUGCAUGUUGUUCGUUGGAAAGUUUCGGCGGUUGUGGAUCUUCUCGCGGCUUACCAGCUUGUUGGGGGGGUAGUGGCUUACCAAGGCUUUGACGGGUAGCCGGCCUGAGAGGGUGACCGGCCACAAUGGGACUGAGAGACGGACCAGACUGGUACGGGAGGCAGCAGGGGGGAGUAUGGCAGAGUAGGGGGAAGCCUGAGGCGACAACGCCGGGAGCGGAAUGACGGGCUUCGGGUUGUAAACAGAUUUCGCCUGUGACGAAGCGUGAGUGACGGUAAUGGGUAAAGAAGCACCGGCUAACUACGUG